rnacentral:misc_RNA from 1 species
GAUGAAGAACGUAGCGAAAUGCGAUAAGUAAUGCGAAUUGCAGAAUUCCAGUGAGUCAUCGAAUCUUUGAACGCACAUUGCGCCCUCUGGUAUUCCGGGGGGCAUGCCUGUUCGAGCGUCAUUACAACCCUCAAGCUCUGCUUGGUAUUGGACCUUCGCCUUCCCGGCGGGUCUCAAAAUCAGUGGCGGUGUCAUCUGACUCUAAGCGUAGUAAAUUCUCUCGCUCUGGAGCUUCGGUUGAUUACUUGCCAUCGAACCCCAAAUUUUUAAAGGUUGACCUCGGAUCAGGUAGGGAUACCCGCUGAACUUAAGCAUAUCAAUAAGCGGAGGA